rnacentral:rRNA from 1 species
UGGGGAAUAUUGCACAAUGGGCGCAAGCCUGAUGCAGCCAUGCCGCGUGUAUGAAGAAGGCCUUCGGGUUGUAAAGUACUUUCAGCGAGGAGGAAGGCGUUGUGGUUAAUAACCGCAGCGAUUGACGUUACUCGCAGAAGAAGCACCGGCUAACUCCGUGCCAGCAGCCGCGGUAAUACGGAGGGUGCAAGCGUUAAUCGGAAUUACUGGGUGUAAAGCGCACGCAGGCGGUCUGUCAAGUCGGAUGUGAAAUCCCCGGGCUCAACCUGGGAACUGCAUCCGAAACUGGCAGGCUAGAGUCUUGUAGAGGGGGGUAGAAUUCCAGGUGUAGCGGUGAAAUGCGUAGAGAUCUGGAGGAAUACCGGUGGCGAAGGCGGCCCCCUGGACAAAGACUGACGCUCAGGUGCGAAAGCGUGGGAGCAAACA